CCGCUAACGGAGCUGGUUUGGCUAACAAACAUUUCGAGCAGCCUCUGUUAGCUUGGAUUAUUUUCUGAAUUUUCUCCUCCUCUGAGUGAAAAUUCCCCACCUUUAAACCGGUAAGACGUUGAUUUAUUUCUUUUAUGAGGGGAAAUGUUCGUUGUUAGCAGAACUUUACGUUUUUAAAAUGCUGAAUUCGACUUUUAACCGAAGCAGCUCGGAGUGUGUGGCCGCCAUUAACGUACCGGUUCAGGUAAAACCAUAAACUGUAUAUAGAGUCUAUAUUAUGUAUUAUAUACAGUCUGUGGGUAAAACCUGACAGUUAGAAACAUUUCUGAAUUUAGUUAAUCCUUUUUAAUCUUUGAAACUUCGUGUCUUUGUUUGUUUUUUUGUCAGAUUAAAAUCAUCUCUAAACCUGGAGUGUUGACAGAUGUGCUGAGUGGCUGAAGUCCCACAGGUGAGGAGAGACCAGCAGCAGGUAGACUUUUUUAUUUUUAAAACACUGUUAUUACACCUGGUUUUUAUUUAUUUAUUCAUUUUUAUUUUUAUUUUUUUUUUAGAGCAGAAAAAACAGGUGUUCAUGUCUUUAUUGUUUUUUAAUGUUUAAGAUUUUAAUGAAGAGUUUAACCUCAGAUUAUUAACUUCUAUUCAGCCUAAAAAGCCUUUAAUCCACAAUUUAACUCCACAUCACUGCGAUUAAUUUACAUGUUUUCAAUGUUUGACCCUGAACUUUAUUGCCAAACCCGCCAGAGACAUUAACAUUAUUAUUCAUGAAUAAUCUCCAAUAACAGGCUGGUAUGGAGUGACCUUUAACCUCUGGACUGUGAUCGUUUUGACACCAACAAACUAGAAAAUAAAUCAGAAACUCUCUCUGAUGUAAGGCUGAAAAUGUCUUUGGGUUUAGACGUGUCUCUGUUCAUAUUUCACACAAAUUAAAACUGAUUUAGUCGAUUAUUUGGGUGAUAAAUUAAAAAGAUUGUAAAUGGAUUUUGGAUUUGGUUUUAUUUAAAUGUUUUCCAGCUGUGUUUGUGGCCUUAACAGCAAAAGGCCUUCAAAAUAAAAUCAUUAGAAUUUAAUUUUUACUGAAAUCUGAAGGAUUAUCGUUAGAAAAAUCGAGUGACUGUCCUCAAGCCUGUAUGUUUGUGUUUAAUCAUAUUUAUAAUUGAAAGAUUGAAGUCUUGUUCGCUCUACAUAAAACCUGAAAGUGUCUCUGGAGGAAAAGAGGAGAAAGUGAGGCGUGAUGAAGGAGAAGAUGGAGUGAGACAGAGCAGCUGUUCACAUCUGGUCACGUUCAUCUUUUAAUUCACACUUUAAAUCAUUUCAACUCCACACGUCAGGGAAUGUUAGUUACUUUUGCACAAUUUUCUAUAAAUAAAUUAGCAGCGUCCUUUUUUUGUGUUUUUGUCAGAAAGAGAAAACCUCAGAGAGUCAGUCUGAUCCAGAGAGGACGAGGAGGCUCCGAAAACCUCAGAAUGUUCCAGACAAACUCUGACACAACGCGCUUCGCUCAGUUUAAAGGUCCACGUCACGUCCUCAGUUUGGUCCCGUGUGAGUAUUUACAUGUGAAGGAGGAGGAGAGAACACGUCUGCCCUCCUCCUCCUCCUCCUCCUCAGCUCUGCGUCUUUAUUCACAGUUUUAGGUGAGGUUCGGCGUGAACACUGCGGCUCCUCCUGCAGGGAAACUGUUCUGCUGAACGAGGUGCUGAGGCUCGAGCUGACGGUGAACAUUUGUGUUUGAAUAUUUCCUGUGAAGAAGAAAAACUCCAGAAUGACCUGAAACAAAAACCUGAUCUCAAAACGACACGGUGAGGAUUUUCACAACGAUUAAAACAGAAUCUGAUGUGAAAUCAAGUGUAACUCUCCAAUCAUGUCAGCAGGUUGAUUUGAUCAGACUAAAUAAAUCUUUAGAAAACCGUUUUUUAAAACGAUCAUUUGUGUAAAGUUAAUUUCAGAUUGAUGAAUCAAAUAUUCAGGUUUUCACCCUCUCACUCCGUCCUGCAGGUCUGCACAAAUCUCUACUGUGAGUUCAGGACAGACUGGAUCAGGUUCAGUUUGAAUAAUUUUAACCUUUUUAUUUUUGAUCAAAAAAAUCAAAAACAUGAACUUGGCACCAAACUGGACUUUGAAUUUAAUUUUCCCUCACAGGACAGGGACACCGACAUGAUCAAUUAUUGAUCAAAGAAAUUAAAUUAACUAAAUAAGUUAAUUUAAAUGAUAAAACAAAAAUCAAAUAGUUUGUUUUUAACCUUUCUGUGCCUCUGAUUUUUCCUCUCAGAUUUCAACAUUUGAUGAAAAGGCCUGAGAAGAUUUAUGGACUGUUUACUCCGUAAGAAUUUAAAAUGAAUCCUUAAAAUCAAAGUCAUGCUGGAGCACAUUUCUGAGCUCUUCAAAUUAAAUAA